rnacentral:rRNA from 1 species
GACGGAGGGUGCUAGCGUUGUUCGGAAUUACUGGGCGUAAAGGGCGCGUAGGCGGCUCCUUGCGUCGGAUGUGAAAGCCCGGGGCUCAACCCCGGAACGGCAUCCGAUACGGGGGAGCUGGAGACCGGGAGAGGAGGGUGGAAUAGCCAGUGUAGAGGUGAAAUUCGUAGAUAUUGGCUGGAACACCGGUGGCGAAAGCGGCUCUCUGGCCCGGUUCUGACGCUGAGGCGCGAAAGCGUGGGGAGCAAACAGG